GUUUGUUUGGAGUUAUAAAGAAUUUAACCUGCCCCCUGAUUAACUACUAAUUAAAGGGCCGCAGUAUUAUAACUGUGCAAAGGUAGCAUAAUCAUUAGGUUUUUAAUUGAAAUCUCGUAUGAAUGGUUGGACAAAAGAAAGACUCUCUUUAUAUUAAGUUUUGAAUUUAACUUUUAAGUGAAAAGGCUUAAAUAUUCUAAAGGGACGAUAAGACCCUAUAAAACUUUACAUUGUCAUUAAUUUUGAUUGAAUUUAUGAAAUAAAAAUUUUAUUUGAUUAUUUGUUAUGUUGGGGAGACAUAAGUAAAAUAUUUUUUUAACUGCUUGAUAGUUAUACAAUUAUUAGUGAAUAAGUAGAAGAUCCUUUUUAAGAUUAGUAGAUUAAGUUACUUUAGGGAUAACAGUGUAAUUUCUUUUGAGAGUUCUUAUCGAAAAAGAAGGUUGCAACCUCGAUGUUGAAUUAAAAUAUCUAUAUAAUGGAGAGGUUAUAUAAGAAGGUCUGUUCGACCUUGAAAAUUUUACAUGAUUUGAGUUCAAACCGGUGUGAG
rnacentral:rRNA from 1 species